AGCAGUCGCCGCGGUAAUACGGAGGGGGCUAGCGUUGUUCGGAUUUACUGGGCGUAAAGCGCACGUAGGCGGACAUUUAAGUCAGGGGUGAAAUCCCAGAGCUCAACUCUGGAACUGCCUUUGAUACUGGGUGUCUGGAGUAUGGAAGAGGUAAGUGGAAUUCCGAGUGUAGAGGUGAAAUUCGUAGAUAUUCGGAGGAACACCAGUGGCGAAGGCGGCUUACUGGUCCAUUACUGACGCUGAGGUGCGAAAGCGUGGGGAGCAAACAGGAUUAGAUACCCGCGUAGUCCCUGUCUCUUAUAC
rnacentral:rRNA from 1 species